rnacentral:lncRNA from 1 species
CGGGCUUGGACUGGGUUUGGGGUUGCCGAGGCAACGGCACUUCUCAUAAGCGCCCUCCUUCCCCUUGAGAGAGGGCAGCGCUGGCUCCGCUCCAGCCAGAGGCCCCCAUCCCUCACAUCUCGCGCGGUGCACGCCUCCUUCAGCCCCACUCGCAUCUCCUCAGAGUUCCUGCUCCUCCUCAGGGCCCCCUUCUCCUCAAAGCCCUCGGUCCUCAGAGACCCUCACUCCCCAGAGCACCCCAACUCUUCCUCCAAGCCACCCCCUCCUCCUCAGAACCCCACACCUCUUAUAGCUUGAUCGACAGCCCCCAUUCAUUUCCAGAAGCCCCAAGCCCCAGACCCCUGCUCAGUCCCCCUAAUGCUCCCUGCAUCCUCAGCCCCAUCAGGUGGGCCACUGGGGCCCCUGGCUCUUCCUCUAGAGCUUUCCACGCCCCGUUCACCUGGCUAAGGCGGGGCGCAGGCGUGCGUGGUUGAUGGCAACGAGGAGAUUACAGUUCUGGGCAUAGAAAAUGCUACCACGUGGUUACCGAAUGAAGGAAGGAUGUUUACUGAGAGACUCCCCUGCAGUGUACCCCAAAUCAGAGCGAAUCCUCACAUCUUUGUUUCUAGUCCUUAGGACACAGCAUCGAAGGCUCCUAGUGCACAAGAAAAGGAACUGGGCGGUGGCUCAUGCCUGUAAUCCUAGCACUUUGGGCGGCAGAGGCGGGAGGAUCACUUGAGCACGGGAGUUUGAGACCAGCUUGGGCAACAUAGUGAGACCCCGUGGUGGUGCACGCCUGUGGUCCCAGCUAUUUGGGACUUGAGAGGCUGAAGUGGGAGGAUCACUUGGGCCUGGGAAUUUGAGGCUGCAGUGAGCCAUGAUUGCACCACUGCACUGCAGCCUGGUUGACGGAGACCAGGUCUCAAAAAAAAAAAAAAAAAAAAAAAGUAAUGGCCUGGACAUGAAUCUCUUCUCCAAAGUCACAGAACCUCCUGGAGCCUAUUUGCUAUGAGGACAGUCUCCAGAUGUGGGCUCAGUAAAAGGUCCUCAGCCUGCUGGCUGGGAGCCCUUCCAGGGUGGGGCCCACGUUCUCUCCAUUGCUGCUGGGGAGGAAAUUCAAACACCAUCUGGUAUGGCUGGAUUGGAGAGCGUCGGGAGACUCCAAAGGGGACGGCAGGGAGUGAAAAAUGAAAGACAUUGACCGAGUGUCUGGACAAUAGGGAAAGCUCUCUGAUGAAGGAAACCGACACUUGGCUCCAAUGACAGAAAGUAAUAGAUUGCAUGGGAGCCACGGAGACCAGUGCCUGUUCAAAAGGUCACCCACAAGCACAGCACUGCCCAGGAGGCCUGAACAGUAGUGGCCUUCAGGCUGGGUGCAGUGGCUGACACCUAUGAUCCCAACACUUUGGGAGUCUGAGGUGGGAGAUUACUUGAGCCCAGGAGUUCAAGACCAGUCUGGGGAACAUAGUGAGACCCCAUCUCUACAAAAAUAAAAAUUAAAAAAAUAGCUAAAUUAGCUGGUCAUGGUCCCAGCUACUUGGGAGGCUGAGAGCAAAACCUGCCCCCAACCCCAACAAAGUAGUAUCCUUCAGAGAACUUGGAGGGGUGGGCACUGAAAGCUUCAGGGACCAGCAGAGACAAAAAUUUGAAGCCACUUGGUGGAGACGGGAGAUCGACAAGAGGAAAUGGUCUCGAAGGAGACCCACGGGGUGCAGGUUAAAACCUGGAGGAGCUGAUGUGAACAGCCAGCUCAGAGCGCCUGAGACAGAGUUGCCUUUUUUUUUUUUUUUUUUUUUUAGACAGAAAUCUUACUCUGUUGCCCAGGCUGGAGUGUAGUGGCGUGACCUUGGCUCACUGCAACCUCCACCUCCUGGGUUCAAGCACUUCUCCUGCCUUAGCCUCCUCCUGAGUAGCUUACAGGCACCCACCACCACGCCCGGCUAAUUUUUGCAUUUUUAGUAGAAAUGAGGUUUCACCAUGUUGGCCAGGCUAGUUUCAAACUUCUGACCUCAGGUGAUCUGCCUGCCUCGGCCGCCCAAAGUGCUGGGAUUACAGGUAUGAGCCACCUCACCCGUCCCACUGUUGCCAUUUGGAGGUCAUCAGGGGUCUCUACUGCAUAGAAAUUAGUUGGCAGCCUUGGCACUCAAAGUGCUCGGCCAGGGCCAUUUAAUAUAGAAGGACCUGGGAGUUUUGGGUUCUUUGACAAUGCAUAUUUCAGUGGUUUAAGAAUUUGGCACAGGUGGCUGGGCAUGGCGGCUCACAUCUCUGAGUGACCUGGGUUCAAAUUCUAGCUGUUAUUCAGCAUGGGAUUCAAAAGUAGGGACAUAACCCCACCUCCUCACUGGUGAGGUGGGAGCAGAGAAUGACAUCCUGGCACACACUGUGCCUUGGAGGGGGCCUCCCUGAGCAUCUCAGAGGGGGCUCAUGAUGGAUCUGGCACUCAUGGGUUGGGUGCUGUGGGGUGAGGUAGGGAAAGCCCAGCUGAGCUUGGGACCAACCCUGGGCUUCGUGGGAAUCUGAAGUCCCUUUCCUAGGGGCCUCUCUGGUCCCUCGGGGCCUGUAUGUGCCAUCUCCAAGCUGUGUUUACCAUGGGCCAGAUCACAACCUGUCUGAAUCAGUGUUCUCACAUAAAAAUCAGAAAGACUGAUCCCAGCACUUUGGGAGGCCAAAGCAGGCGGAUCAUGAGGUC